GCCGGCCACAACCGUGGCCUGUGGGGCCAGCGACAUGGACCCCCUGUACCAGCAAACGCACAAGCAGGUCCAUGAGAUCCAGUCUUGCAUGGGACGCCUGGAGACUGCAGACAAGCAGUCUGUGCACUUAGUAGAAAACGAAAUCCAAGCAAGCAUAGACCAGACAUUCAGCCAUCUAGAACACUCGGAAAUUUUGUCCAGCAAGGAGCCCCCUAACCAAAGGCAGAAUGCCAAACUUUGGGUUGGCCAGUUAAAGUACGAUGUCUAGCACCUACAGACUGCUCUCAGAAACUUCCAGCAUCAGCACCAUGCAAGGGAACAGCAGGAGAGACCGCGAGAAGAGCUUCUGUCUUGAACCUUCACCACUAACGACUCUGACACCGCCAUAUCAGUGGACGAAUCACUGCAGCUUAACUCCUCCCUCCAGAAAAUUCACCACGGCAUGGAUGACCUCAUUUUAGAUGGGCACAAUAUUUUAGAUGGACUGAGGACCCAGAGGCUGACCUUGAAGGGGACUCAGAAGAAGAUCCUUGACAUUGCCAACAUGACGGGCUUGUCCAGCUUAGUGAUGUGGCUCAUCAAGAAGCGGGCUUUCCAGGACAAGUACUUCAUGAUCGGCGGGAUGCUGGUGACCCUUAUGGUCAUGUUCCUUGUGGUGCAUUACCUGACAUGAGCCAGCCACGCUCAGCGGCUGAACAGCAUUCCCACAGCAUGCGAGUGUGUGUGAGUGUGUGCGCUUGAAAGAGAGAGGGGACCCAGAGGCUGCCUUUUGAAAUGUGUGCCUGUCUUAACUGUGAAGACACUCAGGGGUGAUUGUGAUCUAGUUUCCAACCUGCUCUGUUUUCUGUGACGUCUUGGAGGAGGAGCUAGUGCCACCUCCAUGUGAGGUGCUUAGGGAAUGGAAGAAGUCCCAGUUC